rnacentral:lncRNA from 1 species
GAUGAAAUAUUGGGUGGAGACACAGCCAAACAUCACCUUGGGGCACAGGCUCAAAAACAGUCCACAGGAUACCAUCACUGAGCUGGAAUACAACAUGGGGCAUCUGAAAAGAAGAACCAAAAUAGAUGCCUGGUCUUCAACUAAAUUACCUGUUCAUCUUUUUCCAGGAAACCUUGGAACACCAAGGAAUCAGCAGUCAAACGAGCUCAGUCUCUCAGAACACAUGUGGGGGAAUUGAGUAUUUCAACUUUUAGGUAGACAGUUUCUACAAGCUAAAUAGUGGAACGAAA